AUGUGGGCAUCUGCUUGGCCUUCUCUAGCUGGUGGGAUCCUCAACACUCAGGCAACUGCUUGCUGGAUUAUGCACGCCACAUAGCCAAAAUGUCACAGCU